AUGUAAUCUGCCGCACAUAUACUAAAAUUGGAACGAUACUGAGAAGAUUAGCAUGGCCCCUGCACAAGGAUGACACCCAUAUUCGUGAAGCAUUCCAUCUAGUA
ensembl:snRNA U6 U6 spliceosomal RNA